ensembl:lncRNA
GUUUUUUGGUUGCACCUGUAGCAUAUGGAAGUUGAAGUUCCUGGGCCAGGAAUGGAAUCCAGGCCGCAUCUGCGAUCUAUACCACAGCUGCGGCAACGCUGGAUCCUUCACCCACUGCUCGGGGCUGGGGAUCCAACUGGCAAUGCCACAAGGCCACAGAGACAAGCCGGAUCAUUAACCCACUGCGCCACAGCAGGAACGCUGUGGUUUUACCUUUUCUUUUUAACUCGUCUAUUCCAGUCUUGAAAGUGGGGCCGUACAAUAAAAUAGAAAGCUUGCAACAGUAUGGGUAGAGGCAGAUAAUGGCAAAAAGCGUGCAAGUGGCCUGGGAAUGGUUUCCAUUUGGCAAAUGCUGCCAAGGAUUUCCCGAAUCCGCGCCUGGGGAAUCCCACCGUGGCUUUGCACACCCUGACAUCAAUAGGCGUCACUAAAGGCACACCCUCUGCUGAGUAAGGGGUGACAGAGCUCAAGAGAGAAGAACCAGACCCCUUAAGGAAGGAAGAGCAAAGUCAAGGCAAGCUGGCCACCCAGCCGUGGAAAACAUGGAAACCGGAUUUUUCAAUUGCAAGUCUACCUCUGUGCCUUCGCACACAGAGGGCCCUUCUGCAGACACGUCCUCAUCGGCGCAGUCUGGAUGCCACAAUGAAGCCCCCACUAGAUGUCCCCUGCCAUCUUCUCUAUCGUCCCCCUUCAUCUAAUGCCAUCUUUCUAACCGUUUUACUUGGAGGUCACCUGAGCCUUAACAGAAGAGCUGCACCAAUGGUACAGAAAAUUCCUAGACGCCCUUCCCCCGGCGGCCCCUCAUGUUUGCAUCUUACAGAAUCAGAGAAAACCAUAGGAAAAUUCUCCAAAUGAGGAAACUGACCAUGGUACAAUACUCUUAGGAAAAGACAAACUUAGGAUUUCAUCAGUUUUCCCACUCGUGUCCUUUUUCUGGCCUAGGCCCCCACGUUACGCCUUUUUUAGUCUCCUCCAAUCUGUGACAAUCCCACAUCUUUCCCUGUCUGUCAUGACUGUGAUUUUUUUUUUUUUUUUGGUCUUUUUUGGGCCACACCCGCGGCAUAUGGAGGUUCCCAGGCUAGGGGUCGAAUCGGAGCUACAGCUGCUGCCACAGCCACAGCAACGCCGGAUCCUUAAUCCACUGAGCAAGGUCAGGGAUCGAACUUGCAACCUCAUGGUUCCUAGUCAGAUUUGUUUCUGCUGCACCACAAUGGGAACUCCUAUUACCAUGGAGUUUGAAUGGUGAUUUUCAAAUUCUGCCAUUCUUUCUAAAUUUAUUAAUUAGAAUUACCUGUGUGCUCCUUUGUCUGGAUUGGGGUUUUGGUUUUUUGUUUGUUUGUUUGUUUUUGUUUUUUUCUUUGGUCUUAAAAAUAAAGUAUCUUGGUAGGAAGGUACAAACUUUCCAGGGGGCAAAAUAGGCCUUGAGAGAAACUCUCUUUCUAUGUUUCCACUGAAAAACAAUCCACUGCAUCCCAGGCCCUUUCCCUUCUUAUUUCUCCUCUCUCUUCUUUUCUUCCUUCACCUCGCCCUGCCCCACCCACGACCGUGAUCUGCAGAGCGGGUGAGCACCAGGCUGGCUUGGCGAUACCACAAAAACCUAGCUAUGCAGGUCCCCAGAGUCCAGGCUGGAGAGUCACGGCUGGGCCUCAGCAUGUGCUUCAUUUACCCACCCGAAGUGCCUAUUAUGUGCCAGGCACCGUACCAGGCACCUUAACCUAAACCCGCUCUAAUCCCUACAUUAACUUUAGUAACCAGCAAGCUGCUUCCCAUUUUACAGAUGAGGAAACUGAGGCUCGUUCAUUUAGCCAAACAAACCUUUAGUGUCCACAAGUGCCAGGC